rnacentral:rRNA from 1 species
AGCUCCAGUAGCGUAUACUAAUGUUGCUGCAGUUAAAAAGCUCGUAGUUGGAUUUCUGGUUGAUAAUGAUGGUCCGAGUGUACCUUCGGGUUCCUUGAGUAUCGUUUCUUAUCUGCCAUCCUCUUAGUAUUGUUGACUUCGGUCUUCAGUUCUGAGACUUUUACUUUGAAAAAAUUAGAGUGUUUAAAGCAAGCUUGCGCGAUGAAUACAUUAGCAUGGAAUAAUAAUAUAGGACUACGGGUUCUAUUUUGUUGGUUUCUAGACCUGAAGUAAUGAUUGAUAGGGAUAGUUGGGGGUGCUAGUAUUGAGAGGCCAGAGGUGAAAUUCUUUGAUUCUCUCAAGACUAACUUAUGCGAAAGCAUUCACCAAGGAUGUCUUCU